CAAAUCCAGCAUCAUAAAAAGUGACCAAAUAGCAUAUCAAGACUUAAACCUACCAAGCUCGAAAACAUGAUCACAUAUAAACUAAUUCUAUACAUAAGCAUCACUUCAUUAAUCUAAUCAAUACCAUAAUCAGAACAUAUACAAAUUUCACUUAUUACAUGACAAGUUCUGCACCAUAUUUGAAUUUUCAUACCAAACCAUGAACUAGUAGAUUAUUAACUAAGGCAUAUAUUCAUAACACAAGUAGAGAACAAACCACUUGUAAUAAAUAUUAAAAAUAUAUACAAGAUACUCCUAUUACAUGCCACAUAUCCCAAACUUAAACGUUUUCAAAAUCUACUAAAAAAUCUGAAUAGUGUGAUAUUCGCAUUGAUCCAAUCACCAGAUUCUGCAAAAUGUUAUAUUCAAGGAAACAGGAAAAUGAAACGAGUAAGCUUUUACGAGCUUAGUAAGUUCACAGGUUGAAACAUUAUAACUUACCAUAUAAUCAUAGUUUUAUAAAUAACAAUAACAAUAGCUAACAUUAACCUUGUCAAUCACAACCAUUCAACAGGUGAGUUUCGUAAAUAUGAGUCAUUUAAUCACACCAUUUAUACAGUAUGAACCAUUAUCAAGUCACGAUAUGAUAUCAGAAAUCAUGGACACAUGCACAGGUCUUUAAUAAGAAAUUAUAAGUAAAUAACAGUUACAUAUCAUAAUUAAGUCAUUUAACCAUUAAAAAUUCAGCCUGAUGAACGGUAUAAACAAAUACGGAUACGUAGUUAUCUAUCCGAAACAUGCCAAAACGCUCAUACGAGCGAAACUAAUCGAGAACGCGCCUUGGCACCAAGUGCAUAGCCCAUAGGCUAACAUUCCUCCAAAACACACCUCGGCACCAAGUGCCAAGCUUGAAGGCUUUACAUCCGCCCCCAGUAACACGCCAGAAAAACUAUAAUAUAUCAUGAUAGACCACAACAAAUGCUAGACAUUCGGUAUAUUCAGUGAACAGGAGUAAAUCAAGAAUCAUCGUCUCAUCUCAAGUUAAACCCGUACAGCGCGCAGUAUAGCCUAUUGGCAUGUCAAUUGUAUCAUAUCCUAUGUUCAUCUGGACUCGAUACACAUUACCGUAUGACAAUUUAUAAUUCAGUUCAUUUUCUCACCUUGAACCAAUUUAUUAUAAUUCAAUUACAUCUAUAUAUUUAUUAACAUACCACAACUCAUAAAUCAAUAUAAUAUUAUAAAUCAUACCUAAUUAAACUAUAUAAACUUACCAGGGCUAAACUGCAGAGAUAGUAAAAUUUAGGGACUAUUUAACAACUUUCCCUUUUCCAUGAUUUUCCAUCCUGUUCUUGAUCUAUACGAUAUUUUAUUUUAAUUAUCAGUCCCAAUUAUUUUAAAAAUUUUAAUUUAAAGCAUAUAACUUCUUAGAUCACUUUUUUACACAAUUGCCUUGCACUUUUACAUUUAUUUAAUUUAGUCCCUAAUAUCAAAAUAGACUUGUUUUCACAAUUAACUCAAAAACCCAAAUUGUUGAAUUUUUAGCCAUCUCUAAACAGCCCUCAAAUUUUAAAAUUUCUUAAGAACAUCUACCAAUAUUUACUUACUUUCAAUUUAGUCCUUAAAUUUAAAAACUAUACAAAAUCACUUAACAAAAUAGUCUUAAAACAUUUCUAAGCUUCAAAAUAUUCCAUUUAACAUCAUGAACAUCCAAAAAUCAUCAAUGGUUAUUUUAACAAACUUUAACAAUUUUGAAAAUAGAGAUACGAGUUAGCUGGACCUAGUUGCAACAAUUCUAAAAACAUAAAAAAUCAUUAAAAAUGAGUGAGAAAAUACAUACCACGCACACCAAAAAGACUUGGCCAAAAGCUCCCUAAGUUUAGCUAUGGAGUUUUCGGUUUCUCUAUUAAGAAAUAAAGAAAAUGAUAGUUGUUUUAAUAUUUUAUCUUACUUUGUUUUUUAUUUAAUUACCAAAAUGCCAUUAAUUCAACAUAAUUUUAAUCUAAAAUGCAUAUAUCUACCAUCUACUAUAUUGACUAUGGCUAAAUUGCUAUAUUUUUUCACACAAUUAACCCUUUUAAACUAAUAGCGAUUAACUUUUGCAACUUUUACGAUUUAGUCGUUUUUACUUAAUUAAUAAUCUAAACGUUAAAAUUACCUAACCAAAUUUUAAUACACCUAUAUAAUCAUUCUAUAAAAAUUUAAUAAAACUAUUUACAGGCUCGAUUUAUAAAAAUGAGGUCCCAAAAUCUCAUUUUCUAAAACCACUUGUCUUCAGAGAUUAACCACUUGAACUUAACAAAUAAUUUCAAAUAACAAAAAUUAUCAAGUCAAUAUUUAUUAUAAUUUUAUAUUUGACUCGUAAAUAUUAAAUAAUAAUAUUUGCGGACUCACUCAUCAGAUUUGUGGUCUCGAAACUACUAUUUCUGACACCAUUGAAAAACGAGAUGUUAGAAGGAUGGAUUAAAUGCUUAAAUGUGUUGUAUUUUUAUGGUCUGGAGCAGAGGUAUCGAUAUUCAGAUUAUAAGAAUGAUACCUCUGUGGUAUUUUUUAUGUGCAGGAAGUUAAUAUUGUAAUUUGGUAUCGAUACCUUACCAUGAGUAUUGAUACUCGGGGUAAAAUAAUCGAUACUUUAAUAAAUGUUCUGAUAAAUUCUGGGGUUUGAUUUUUAGAUGAGAAAUAGAAUGUUGUUUUGGUAUCGAUUUUCCAAUCAAUAUCAAUACCAUAUAAGAGAAAUAUCGAUACCCCAGUUUUAGUAUCGAUACCUGCGUAACUUGUUUUGGAAUUUUGCUAAGCGACUGUAAUGCAUGUUUAAUUAAUAUUAUAAGUUUGUUUGAAGUGUGUUUGGCAUGUUUUAAUGAUGAUUAAUAUAUGCUUAACUUAGAAAUUUGUAAGAACGCUAAUAAAGAAGACAAUUGCCUAUUAAUGUGACAUUUUAUAAUGUGUGUGAUGGGUGAGGGUGGUAUGACAUCCUGAUAUUUGGGCACCGCGAUGGGAUCAAGUAUAGGAUGUUACAUUUUGUGGUAUCGAAGCCUAGGUUACUUAACACUCGAACCUAAGUUUUUAAUGUACUGAUUGGGAUUUCGCCACCCAUUGAUUCAGAAACCAAAAUGUUUAAGUUACUUUGAUUGCUUAGAUUGUUGAAAAUAUCUUUGAUUGAAUUGCAUGUGGGUUAGGAAUGAGAACACACUGCCUUAAUCUUAAAUUUUUCUUGUAGGAACGUUAAGUCAUUUCCUUUGUCACUCAUACCUUUGGUUUUGUUUGUGUAUGUUAGAUUAGAUUCGAUAUGUCUCGUAGACAUAUUAAUAUGAAUGCAAAUUAUUCAUAAAAUCCAUAGAAAUAUUAUUGUUGGCCAUUUUAAAUAGUUUUACCAUUAUCAACGUUUAAAAAACCAAUGGAGAGCUAGACGCGCUUUUAUACACUUUAUCUCCAUAUAUGACAUAUUUACCUAAUUUAGAAAAAAUGGCUUAAAAUACCAAUAAAAGAAAUGGUAUAUAAGCCUAAUUUAGCCCAAAAUCUAUUUAUUUAAAAGAAAAAGCUUCCAAAAAUAAAUCUAAAUCAAUUUAUAAUAUUAAAAUUGAACAAAUAUCAUCAUAUAUAAAAUCAUUUGAACUUAAUUUUUCAUGAUAUAUCCAAAGUAUUGUCUGCUGACCGAAUUGGUGACGAAAUUGGCACCAAUGAGGGUCGUAACACCAAAAAAGUUUGGUUUAAGGAGGUGGGAAGGGAUCCAUCAGAAUUCAUGAUGGUAGACUCAAGCCCAAUGAGUAGAGUUUCUUGGAAAGAGAAGCUUUUGGAAGGGAAAGGUUUUGAAUCUUGUAAUGGUGUUACUAAUGCGAAUCUUGAAAUAGAAUAUGGCAAUAUUCUUCGAUCCUCCAUCAAUGGAAUCCCUGCCAUUGAUUUCUCAAAAAAGGUUAAGAGAGGUUUUGGUUAAGGAUAUGGAAACUACCAUUGUCGUCAAAUUGUUGGGACGCAAUAUUGGUUAUGGAGUUUUGCACGAUCACAUUUCAAGCCUUUGGAGACCCUCUCAACCUUUUUCACCUGAUGGAUGUCGAGAAUGGUUAUUACCUUGUCCGAUUCUAGAGCAGGGAAGAUUAUGACUUGGCUCUGACUCAAAGCCCUUGGAUAGUGUUUGAACACUAUCUCACUGUUCAGCCAUGGACAAUUGAUUUUGACCUGUUGAGACCCUUUCUUAGCAUGAUAAUAUCCUAGAUCCGCUUCCCAGGUUUGUUGGGAUUUCUAUGUAAAAAAUGGAUCUUAGAGGAGAUCGAAAACUUGGUUGGACAAAUGGUUAAAUUAGAUGUCAAAAUCGAUAGUGGAUCAAGGGGACAGUUUGCAAGAAUGGUUGUCGAUAGAUCUAGAAAAAUCACUUACCUCGCAAGUCUUGAUCAAUGGCAGGGUGCAACGAGUGGAGUUUGAAGCCCUACCCAUAGUAUGUUUUUCUUCUAGAAAAUAUGCCCAUCCAAAAAGUUCCUGUUCUUCUUCUUUGGCAGAUCAAAUCAUACACGGUAGCAA
rnacentral:lncRNA from 1 species